GUGGGGAAUAUUGGGCAAUGGGCGAAAGCCUGACACAGCAACGCCGCGUGAAGGAAGAAGGUCUUCGGAUCGUAAACUUCUAUCCUUGGUGAAGAUAAUGACGGUAGCCGAGAAGGAAGCCCCGGCUAACUACGUGCCAGCAGCCGCGGUAAUACGUAGGGGGCAAGCGUUGUCCGGAAUGAUUGGGCGUAAAGGGCGCGUAGGCGGCCUGGUAAGUCUGGAGUGAAAGUCCUGCUUUUAAGGUGGGAAUUGCUUUGGAUACUGUCGGGCUUGAGUGCAGGAGAGGUAAGUGGAAUUCCCGGUGUAGCGGUGAAAUGCGUAGAGAUCGGGAGGAACACCAGUGGCGAAGGCGACUUACUGGACUGUAACUGACGCUGAGGCGCGAAAGUGUGGGGAGCAAACAGGAUUAGAAACCCUGGUAGUCC
rnacentral:rRNA from 1 species